GUUCCACUUGUGAAAAGCAAUUAUUCCAGGCUUCUCUUGGAAACGCUUUUUUGGGCCCCAGUGGUAGAAACCUGAAAUGGGCAAAAACCAGUGCACAAAAUGAGCCCCAUCACUCUCAGCUUGUGUAAGGGGCACCCGGAGGUCUCUAAUUAUACCCCUCAGGAAGACUCACGUGGUGUGCUGGGGUUGGGCUGGAUGUUCUUGGAGGUCUUCCCCAACCUCAGUGCUUCUGUGAUUCUAUGGAAAUGGCAGCAGAAUGCAUACGUGUGCUGGGGCUGCCGCUGGGAGCAGCUGCUCAGGCACGUGUGAGCACAGUGCAUAUGUGUGCACACGUGUGUGCUCGUGGCUCCUUCGCUCUGUGCCGUGGCACAGCAUCACUCCCACAUCCAACCCAGACUGGAAACUACCUUGGCAAAAUCAUCCUGGAGGAGGCUUUUAGCAGCGUGCAGCAUGGAACGCAUCCAGCACUGUGGUUUUCCAAGGUAACAGCCGAAGAAAAGGAAAAAAAAAAAAGGCUGGAGGAAGGGAUGAGGCAGCGGGUGUCAGACAGCGGACGGUGUUCAUUGAGGUCUUUCACACAGCACGUGACAGGCGGGUGCCCAGCGAUUUAAUGCCUACCAAUGCUCUUCAUGGCAGCUGCUGCUUUAAAUGGAAUUCCAGCACAAGUUGUGGCUUCUGCUGCCUGAGCCUCUUUCCCUUUCCCUUCUCUUUCUCCAUGCAGAAAAAAUGGCACCCACUGACAUUCAUCGACAGUUGCUGAACAGUUAUGGAGGCCCAACAGUGGAUGUGAGCACAGUGCUGCUGUGGGUGGUGCAUUUCAGCAGUGACAGUGGAUCACCUCGACUGGUGCAGAUUUAUCCAACGUGGCAUGCAGGUUCUAGUUCAUCGCUGGCCAAAAAGCACAGCCAGUGGUGGUGGCUAUGUUGAAAAACAGUGCUUUGUGGCUGAGAAUUUGCUCUGUCUGUUAGUAUUAUUGUGCUCUUUGUAUCUGUUGCAGUUUCUGCGGAAAUAAAUAGGAG
ensembl:lncRNA